rnacentral:rRNA from 1 species
UACGGAGGGUGCAAGCGUUAUCCGGAUUCACUGGGUUUAAAGGGUGCGUAGGUGGGCUGGUAAGUCAGUGGUGAAAUCUCCAGGCUUAACUUGGAAACUGCCAUUGAUACUAUCAGUCUUGAAUACCGUGGAGGUCAGCGGAAUAUGUCAUGUAGCGGUGAAAUGCUUAGAUAUGACAUAGAACACUAAUUGCGAAGGCAGCUGGCUACACGAAUAUUGACACUGAUGCACGAAAGCGUGGGGAUCAAACAGG